GGCUCGCGUCGCUGACCAGGCUGCCCGCCUGGCUGUUGUCCAGGCUGGCCGCCGUGACGUUCAAGCGUUGGCCUGCCCCCA
rnacentral:tRNA from 1 species